rnacentral:rRNA from 1 species
AUUGAACGCUGGCGGCAGGCCUAACACAUGCAAGUCGAGCGGAUGAAGGGAGCUUGCUCCUGGAUUCAGCGGCGGACGGGUGAGUAAUGCCUAGGAAUCUGCCUGGAAGUGGGGGAUAACGUCCGGAAACGGGCGCUAAUACCGCGUACGUCCUGAGGGAGAAAGUGGGGGAUCUUCGGACCUCACGCUAUCAGAUGAGCCUAGGUCGGAUUAGCUAGUUGGUGGGGUAAAGGCCUACCAAGGCGACGAUCCGUAACUGGUCUGAGAGGAUGAUCAGUCACACUGGAACUGAGACACGGUCCAGACUCCUACGGGAGGCAGCAGUGGGGAAUAUUGGACAAUGGGCGAAAGCCUGAUCCAGCCAUGCCGCGUGUGUGAAGAAGGUCUUCGGAUUGUAAAGCACUUUAAGUUGGGAGGAAGGGCAGUAAGUUAAUACCUUGCUGUUUUGACGUUACCAACAGAAUAAGCACCGGCUAACUUCGUG